GCAAAACACACAGCACACACACUCACACGUGGACCAAGUAUCCAGUGACCGACUCAUCCCUCAAUGGAAAACAGUCCAAGCCAAGACACAGAGGGAAAUCCUUAUCUAUGGACUGAUGGUAAAGGUAGAUUACCCUCUCUGCGAUGGAUCCUUACAAGGCACCCGGACCUUCGUCCACGAUAUCUCCAUCUAUUCCUCCUGCGAAUGACGGGGAUGAGGGCCUUGUCAGGUGUCUGGAGUAAAUCCUUCCCGUCCGACUCGUUGAAGAAGAAGAAUUCCUCCAGUACGGGUUUCCAGAGAACCCAUUCUCUAUGACGCAAAUGGAGGAAGAGGUAUGGAGG
rnacentral:lncRNA from 1 species